rnacentral:rRNA from 1 species
GACGAACGCUGGCGGCGUGCUUAACACAUGCAAGUCGAACGCUUAAGCUUGGUGCUUGCACUGGGUGGAUGAGUGGCGAACGGGUGAGUAAUACGUGAGUAACCUGCCCUUGACUCUGGGAUAAGCCUGGGAAACUGGGUCUAAUACUGGAUACGACAUGCCACUGCAUGGUGGUGUGUGGAAAGGGUUUUACUGGUUUUGGAUGGGCUCACGGCCUAUCAGCUUGUUGGUGGGGUAAUGGCCUACCAAGGCGACGACGGGUAGCCGGCCUGAGAGGGUGACCGGCCACACUGGGACUGAGACACGGCCCAGACUCCUACGGGAGGCAGCAGUGGGGAAUAUUGCACAAUGGGCGGAAGCCUGAUGCAGCGACGCCGCGUGAGGGAUGACGGCCUUCGGGUUGUAAACCUCUUUCAGCACGGAAGAAGCGAGAGUGACGGUACGUGCAGAAGAAGCGCCGGCUAACUACGUG